AUGCACACAGCUCGCCUGUCUGUGCUGCCUUCAAGCUCUGCCUUCCUGCAACAUGUGCUCUUCUCUCCAAGGUCAGAGCAGACAAACAUAAAACAAAAUAAAUCAGAUAGAACCUGGGACAGUUUUACAUGGCUUCAAAAGAAGAAAAUAAUCAAACUAAAGAAGAUUAAAAAAAGAAUGAAAAAAUGUGAUGCACUGCAUUUGGACCCUGUUAUAUUUCAGACUCUCACAAUACCUUCACUUGGCAAGACAUUAAUCAUUCUUCAUUUAUUUUUUACACUGAUGGAUGAUGAAGGUGAUUUUGGUGUUCACAAAAUACUCUAAUUAAAUUAAUUCAUCUGACACAAAGUGCUGUCCUAUUCUUACAUGAAAAAUGGGAGACGGAUUUAGCCAUUUAUAUCAUCUUAAUUGAAUACUCACA
rnacentral:lncRNA from 1 species